AUCCAUACUCACUAACGCCAGCUUUCGCAAGUUCUCUCCUCAUCCUAACACCUAAUGAAACCCUAUAGAACCAUCACACAACCAUCGGCCGCAACGGCACUCCUUUCACCAAGUCGUUGGUGUCAGUCGUUGCAUCUUCAGUAGCACAAUACCACCAACCAAUCGCGCAGGGACGUCCUUCUACUUCGAAUCUCCCACCCUUCAAACCCUCCGCAUAUCAUCCAGACACCACCGGACAGCAGGAUACCAGAGGUCCCCCUCAGACCUCAUCUCCAGGUGCAGAACCCGCAACAAAAAGGAUAAAUAAAUAAAUAAAUAAAUAAAUAAAUAAAUAAACAUGUCUCUGUCCCCACCGCCCGCCCCGCUCUCCCUCCCGCACUCAAAGCCCAACCAACCCCCUAAAAGGCGCACCAGCGUCGCCACCAUCUCCAGCGCCGGCGCGGGCCCUCACAAGAAACAACGCCUGCACCCGCUCCGCCAAACCUCGUUUCCCAACUCGCA
rnacentral:sRNA from 1 species